GAUUACCCGCCGAACUUAAGCAUAUCACUAAGCGGAGGAAAAGAAACUAACCAGGAUUCCCCUAGUAACGGCGAGUGAAGAGGGAAUAGCCCAGCACCGAAGCCUGCGGUAGGUUUACUGCUAGGCAAUGUGGUGUUUGGGUCGACUCGCGGGAUUGCCACUCCACUCGAAGUCCAGCACUGAGUAUGGUUCCCUGGAUUUGGCCCAGAGAGGGUGAAAGGCCCGUGCGAGUGGAGGUUCAGACAUGUGAGGCAAUUCACCAGGUCGACCUUCGAGUCGGGGUGUUUGUGAAUGCAGC
rnacentral:rRNA from 1 species